rnacentral:rRNA from 1 species
GUUAAGCGACUAAGCGUACACGGUGGAUGCCCUGGCAGUCAGAGGCGAUGAAGGACGUGCUAAUCUGCGAUAAGCGUCGGUAAGGUGAUAUGAACCGUUAUAACCGGCGAUUUCCGAAUGGGGAAACCCAGUGUGUUUCGACACACUAUCAUUAACUGAAUCCAUAGGUUAAUGAGGCGAACCGGGGGAACUGAAACAUCUAAGUACCCCGAGGAAAAGAAAUCAACCGAGAUUCCCCCAGUAGCGGCGAGCGAACGGGGAGGAGCCCAGAGCCUGAAUCAGUGUGUGUGUUAGUGGAAGCGUCUGGAAAGGCGCGCGAUACAGGGUGACAGCCCCGUACACAAAAAUGCACAUGCUGUGAGCUCGAUGAGUAGGGCGGGACACGUGGUAUCCUGUCUGAAUAUGGGGGGACCAUCCUCCAAGGCUAAAUACUCCUGACUGACCGAUAGUGAACCAGUACCGUGAGGGAAAGGCGAAAAGAACCCCGGCGAGGGGAGUGAAAAAGAACCUGAAACCGUGUACGUACAAGCAGUGGGAGCACGCUUAGGCGUGUGACUGCGUACCUUUUGUAUAAUGGGUCAGCGACUUAUAUUCUGUAGCAAGGUUAACCGAAUAGGGGAGCCGAAGGGAAACCGAGUCUUAACUGGGCGUUAAGUUGCAGGGUAUAGACCCGAAACCCGGUGAUCUAGCCAUGGGCAGGUUGAAGGUUGGGUAACACUAACUGGAGGACCGAACCGACUAAUGUUGAAAAAUUAGCGGAUGACUUGUGGCUGGGGGUGAAAGGCCAAUCAAACCGGGAGAUAGCUGGUUCUCCCCGAAAGCUAUUUAGGUAGCGCCUCGUGAAUUCAUCUCCGGGGGUAGAGCACUGUUUCGGCAAGGGGGUCAUCCCGACUUACCAACCCGAUGCAAACUGCGAAUACCGGAGAAUGUUAUCACGGGAGACACACGGCGGGUGCUAACGUCCGUCGUGAAGAGGGAAACAACCCAGACCGCCAGCUAAGGUCCCAAAGUCAUGGUUAAGUGGGAAACGAUGUGGGAAGGCCCAGACAGCCAGGAUGUUGGCUUAGAAGCAGCCAUCAUUUAAAGAAAGCGUAAUAGCUCACUGGUCGAGUCGGCCUGCGCGGAAGAUGUAACGGGGCUAAACCAUGCACCGAAGCUGCGGCAGCGACGCUUAUGCGUUGUUGGGUAGGGGAGCGUUCUGUAAGCCUGUGAAGGUGUGCUGUGAGGCAUGCUGGAGGUAUCAGAAGUGCGAAUGCUGACAUAAGUAACGAUAAAGCGGGUGAAAAGCCCGCUCGCCGGAAGACCAAGGGUUCCUGUCCAACGUUAAUCGGGGCAGGGUGAGUCGACCCCUAAGGCGAGGCCGAAAGGCGUAGUCGAUGGGAAACAGGUUAAUAUUCCUGUACUUGGUGUUACUGCGAAGGGGGGACGGAGAAGGCUAUGUUGGCCGGGCGACGGUUGUCCCGGUUUAAGCGUGUAGGCUGGUUUUCCAGGCAAAUCCGGAAAAUCAAGGCUGAGGCGUGAUGACGAGGCACUACGGUGCUGAAGCAACAAAUGCCCUGCUUCCAGGAAAAGCCUCUAAGCAUCAGGUAACAUCAAAUCGUACCCCAAACCGACACAGGUGGUCAGGUAGAGAAUACCAAGGCGCUUGAGAGAACUCGGGUGAAGGAACUAGGCAAAAUGGUGCCGUAACUUCGGGAGAAGGCACGCUGAUAUGUAGGUGAAGUCCCUCGCGGAUGGAGCUGAAAUCAGUCGAAGAUACCAGCUGGCUGCAACUGUUUAUUAAAAACACAGCACUGUGCAAACACGAAAGUGGACGUAUACGGUGUGACGCCUGCCCGGUGC